rnacentral:rRNA from 1 species
UUAAUUUGAGAGUUUGAUCCUGGCUCAGGACGAACGCUGGCGGCGUGCCUAAUACAUGCAAGUCGAACGAACUCUGGUAUUGAUUGGUGCUUGCAUCAUGAUUUACAUUUGAGUGAGUGGCGAACUGGUGAGUAACACGUGGGAAACCUGCCCAGAAGCGGGGGAUAACACCUGGAAACAGAUGCUAAUACCGCAUAACAACUUGGACCGCAUGGUCCGAGCUUGAAAGAUGGCUUCGGCUAUCACUUUUGGAUGGUCCCGCGGCGUAUUAGCUAGAUGGUGGGGUAACGGCUCACCAUGGCAAUGAUACGUAGCCGACCUGAGAGGGUAAUCGGCCACAUUGGGACUGAGACACGGCCCAAACUCCUACGGGAGGCAGCAGUAGGGAAUCUUCCACAAUGGACGAAAGUCUGAUGGAGCAACGCCGCGUGAGUGAAGAAGGGUUUCGGCUCGUAAAACUCUGUUGUUAAAGAAGAACAUAUCUGAGAGUAACUGUUCAGGUAUUGACGGUAUUUAACCAGAAAGCCACGGCUAACUACGUGCCAGCAGCCGCGGUAAUACGUAGGUGGCAAGCGUUGUCCGGAUUUAUUGGGCGUAAAGCGAGCGCAGGCGGUUUUUUAAGUCUGAUGUGAAAGCCUUCGGCUCAACCGAAGAAGUGCAUCGGAAACUGGAAAACUUGAGUGCAGAAGAGGACAGUGGAACUCCAUGUGUAGCGGUGAAAUGCGUAGAUAUAUGGAAGAACACCAGUGGCGAAGGCGGCUGUCUGGUCUGUAACUGACGCUGAGGCUCGAAAGUAUGGGUAGCAAACAGGAUUAGAUACCCUGGUAGUCCAUACCGUAAACGAUGAAUGCUAAGUGUUGGAGGGUUUCCGCCCUUCAGUGCUGCAGCUAACGCAUUAAGCAUUCCGCCUGGGGAGUACGGCCGCAAGGCUGAAACUCAAAGGAAUUGACGGGGGCCCGCACAAGCGGUGGAGCAUGUGGUUUAAUUCGAAGCUACGCGAAGAACCUUACCAGGUCUUGACAUACUAUGCAAAUCUAAGAGAUUAGACGUUCCCUUCGGGGACAUGGAUACAGGUGGUGCAUGGUUGUCGUCAGCUCGUGUCGUGAGAUGUUGGGUUAAGUCCCGCAACGAGCGCAACCCUUAUUAUCAGUUGCCAGCAUUAAGUUGGGCACUCUGGUGAGACUGCCGGUGACAAACCGGAGGAAGGUGGGGAUGACGUCAAAUCAUCAUGCCCCUUAUGACCUGGGCUACACACGUGCUACAAUGGAUGGUACAACGAGUUGCGAACUCGCGAGAGUAAGCUAAUCUCUUAAAGCCAUUCUCAGUUCGGAUUGUAGGCUGCAACUCGCCUACAUGAAGUCGGAAUCGCUAGUAAUCGCGGAUCAGCAUGCCGCGGUGAAUACGUUCCCGGGCCUUGUACACACCGCCCGUCACACCAUGAGAGUUUGUAACACCCAAAGUCGGUGGGGUAACCUUUUAGGAACCAGCCGCCUAAGGUGGGACAGAUGAUUAGGGUGAAGUCGUAACAAGGUAGCCGUAGGAGAACCUGCGGCUGGAUCACCUCCUUUCUAAGGAA